rnacentral:rRNA from 1 species
CAGUCGCCGCGGGAAUACGAAGGGGGCUAGCGUUGUUCGGAUUUACUGGGCGUAAAGCGCACGUAGGCGGACUUUUAAGUCAGGGGUGAAAUCCCGGGGCUCAACCCCGGAACUGCCUUUGAUACUGGAAGUCUUGAGUAUGGUAGAGGUGAGUGGAAUUCCGAGUGUAGAGGUGAAAUUCGUAGAUAUUCGGAGGAACACCAGUGGCGAAGGCGGCUCACUGGACCAUUACUGACGCUGAGGUGCGAAAGCGUGGGGAGCAAACAGGAUUAGAUACCCCUGUAGUCCCUGUCUCUUAUCU